rnacentral:miRNA from 1 species
GGAGGAAUCGAAAGAUAUAAG